rnacentral:rRNA from 1 species
AGAGUUGAUCAUGGCUCAAGAACGAACGCUGGCGGCAUGCCUAACACAUGCAAGUCGAACGAGACCUUCGGGUCUAGUGGCGCACGGGUGCGUAACGCGUGGGAACCUGCCUUUAGGUUCGGAAUAACUCAGAGAAAUUUGAGCUAAUACCGGAUAAUGUCUUCGGACCAAAGAUUUAUCGCCUUUAGGUGGGCCCGCGUAAGAUUAGCUAGUUGGUGGGGUAAAGGCCUACCAAGGCGACGAUCUUUAGCUGGUCUGAGAGGAUGAUCAGCCACACUGGGACUGAGACACGGCCCAGACUCCUACGGGAGGCAGCAGUGGGGAAUAUUGGACAAUGGGCGAAAGCCUGAUCCAGCAAUGCCGCGUGAGUGAUGAAGGCCUUAGGGUUGUAAAGCUCUUUACCCGAGAUGAUAAUGACAGUAUCGGGAGAAUAAGCUCCGGCUAACUCCGUG